CUCCGCCAGCAUCGCCACCACCACUGACACCGCUCCGAGUCUCCAGUUGCGCCCAUGCCUGUGCCGCCAGUUUCGGUUUAGGGGCUGAACCGCAGGGGCUGAAGAAAAUGGGGCAGAGCGCGCCCCGGACCCUCCUGCUGCUGCUGGCGGGGCUGCUGGGGGAGGCUCUGGCGGGGUUCCCCAACACCAUCAGUAUAGGUGGACUUUUCAUGAGGAACACUGUUCAGGAGCACAGUGCGUUUCGAUUUGCUGUGCAGUUAUACAACACAAACCAAAAUACCACAGAAAAGCCCUUCCAUUUGAACUAUCAUGUAGAUCACUUGGACUCUUCCAACAGCUUUUCAGUGACAAAUGCUUUCUGUUCACAGUUUUCCAGAGGAGUUUAUGCCAUCUUUGGAUUCUAUGACCAGAUGUCAAUGAACACACUGACGUCAUUUUGUGGAGCCCUUCACACAUCCUUCAUCACACCCAGCUUCCCAACAGAUGCAGAUGUGCAGUUUGUCAUCCAGAUGAGGCCAGCGUUAAAAGGAGCCAUCUUGAGUCUCUUGACUUAUUAUAAGUGGGAAAAGUUUGUGUACCUCUAUGACACAGAACGGGGAUUUUCUAUUCUUCAGGCGAUUAUGGAAGCAGCAGUACAGAACAACUGGCAAGUGACAGCCAGAUCUGUAGGAAGCAUAAAGGAUGUUCAAGAGUUCAGAAGAAUUAUAGAGGAGAUGGACAGACGACAAGAAAAAAGAUACUUAAUUGACUGUGAAGUAGACAGAAUCAACACCAUUUUGGAACAGGUUGUAGUCCUCGGCAAACAUUCUAGAGGCUAUCACUACAUGUUAGCUAACCUGGGUUUCACAGACAUUGUUCUGGAGAGAGUAAUGCAUGGAGGUGCCAACAUUACUGGAUUCCAGAUUGUUAAUAAUGAAAACCCAAUGGUUCAACAAUUUCUACAGCGCUGGGUGAGGCUUGAUGAAAGGGAAUUCCCUGAAGCUAAAAACUCACCAUUAAAGUACACAUCUGCACUGACCCACGAUGCAGUCCUGGUCAUAGCAGAGGCUUUCCGUUACCUCCGAAGACAGCGUGUGGAUGUCUCCAGGAGAGGCAGUGCUGGAGACUGCCUGGCUAACCCUGCAGUACCAUGGAGCCAAGGAAUUGAUAUAGAAAGAGCGCUGAAAAUGGUGCAAGUACAAGGAAUGACAGGGAACAUCCAGUUCGACACCUAUGGGCGGAGGAUGAAUUACACCAUUGAUGUGUAUGAAAUGAAAGCUGGUGGGUCACGGAAGGCUGGUUAUUGGAAUGAAUAUGAAAGAUUUGUGCCAGCAUUAGAUCAGCUCCCCUCUAAUGACAGCUCAUCUGUGGAGAACAGAACUAUAGUAGUCACUACCAUCUUGGAAUCACCAUAUGUAAUGUAUAAGAAAAACCAUGAACAACUAGAAGGGAAUGAGAGAUAUGAAGGCUAUUGUGUAGACUUAGCUUCUGAAAUAGCAAAACAUGUUGGAAUAAAAUACAAACUGUCAAUUGUUGGAGAUGGGAAAUAUGGAGCUAGGGACCCUGAGACUAAGAUAUGGAAUGGCAUGGUGGGUGAACUGGUCUAUGGGAGAGCAGAUAUAGCUGUUGCCCCCCUCACCAUAACACUGGUGCGAGAAGAAGUCAUAGACUUUUCCAAACCCUUUAUGAGCCUGGGCAUCUCCAUCAUGAUCAAGAAGCCUCAGAAAUCUAAACCGGGCGUAUUCUCUUUCCUGGAUCCUUUGGCUUAUGAAAUUUGGAUGUGUAUAGUCUUUGCUUACAUUGGCGUCAGCGUAGUUCUUUUCCUAGUCAGCAGAUUCAGCCCUUAUGAAUGGCACUUGGAAGACAGCACUGAAGAACCACGUGACCCUCAGAAUCCUCCUGACCCUCCAAAUGAGUUUGGAAUAUUUAACAGCCUUUGGUUUUCCCUGGGUGCCUUUAUGCAGCAAGGAUGCGAUAUUUCUCCAAGAUCUCUCUCAGGGCGAAUUGUCGGAGGAGUCUGGUGGUUCUUCACUCUCAUCAUUAUCUCUUCCUACACUGCUAAUCUCGCUGCCUUCCUUACGGUGGAAAGGAUGGUUUCACCCAUAGAGAGCGCAGAGGACCUGGCUAAACAAACCGAAAUAGCCUAUGGCACUUUGGAUUCAGGUUCAACCAAAGAAUUCUUUAGAAGGUCAAAAAUAGCUGUCUACGAGAAAAUGUGGUCGUACAUGAAGUCGGCCGAGCCUUCGGUGUUCACCAAAACGACGGCGGACGGGGUGGCGAGGGUGCGGAAGUCCAAGGGGAAGUUUGCCUUCCUGCUGGAGUCGACGAUGAACGAGUACAUCGAGCAGCGCAAGCCCUGCGACACCAUGAAAGUUGGAGGCAACCUGGAUUCCAAGGGCUAUGGUGUAGCAACCCCCAAAGGCUCAGCAUUAAGAAAUGCUGUUAACCUGGCAGUAUUAAAACUGAAUGAGCAAGGCCUCUUGGACAAAUUGAAAAACAAAUGGUGGUACGACAAAGGAGAGUGCGGCAGCGGGGGAGGUGACUCCAAGAACUCCUGUAAACCUUGCAGUAUUGAAACUCAGUGAACAAGGCAUCUUAGACAAGCUGAAAAACAAAUGGUGGUACGAUAAGGGUGAAUGUGGAGCCAAGGACUCCGGAAGUAAGGUCAGUCGCUGAAGGUCUUUUUGUACUGAUUAGCAAUCACAUUUUGACCCACUGUUUGUUUAUACCAAGAAUGACUUUCAGAAGUUGCUAUUUACAUUUUGAAGGUUGAAAGAAAAAGACUAGAAAAAAUAAUUUAAGUCUCAGAACAUGACAGCAUUUUUCUUAUAUGCAGUAGCAGACUGUAGUUGUAAGUAUGUUUUACUGUGUGAGUAUUUUGCUAGAAAAACAUGCAGAGAGAAGCCCCCAAAGUCUCCCAAGGUGGUGUUUUCAAUUAAAUGCACAAAUUUUAGCACAGUCAUUUUGUAUUAUUCAGGCCAGCAUCUUUUCUUAUUUUUAGUUUUAUUGAAAAAACACAUUUUUGUUUCAAAAUUAUGACUUAGCUUCUCUACAUGUCAGUUUGGGAGACAGUCACAUGCUUGCUAAGGAUGUAAAUUUUCAGGACAGACCAUUGAUAAGGAAAAAACUCCUCUCCCACCUUGUUUCCCAAUUCAGUCUGAAAUUGGUUGGAUUUUUUUAAAAAAAAUCUAGAAGUCCCAAUGGUGAGUCAUUACCUAAAUGUUGUAUAUUCCUUUUUAUAUUGCUUUGAACCAUUUUGCUGCUGUACUACCCUGUUGCCCACCAGCUGUGCUGUGGGGCUGGCCAGCCUCAUGUGGAACCACUGUAGUCUCCAGGGGAGAUCACGCUCCUGAGGUGGAUCACCCCUUAAGUUGCAGGAAAUAUUUAUUUACACCAUUCAGUUAAAAGAAAACACAGAGGGUUUUUUUUUCUUAAUGCUUAUAGACCCAUUGGGGAGAAAAACCCUGUAAAAGUGCUGGGCUUGUUGGAGUGAAGGACAUUUUCAAAGGCACUAAGAGGAGGAGAAAUCCAGCUCCAGCUGAAAUCGGUCGCAGUUGAGUGCCUAACUCCCCUGGUGCCUUUGGAAGUGCUCUCUGUAAUCAUUCAAACAGAAAACUGUAAUUUCAAAGCACCCUCUCAGUGUCGGAGGACAAUUUCAAGUUCCAGCGAAGCCAGUAAUAAAAUUUCAUUGAUUUCAGUUGGACUGAAAGUUGCUUAGGGCACAACCCUGUAGCUGUUGUAUGAGAUAAAUUUGGGAUCAUGGGAUAUGUGAACACACAGCAGCUGCAGAAGGGAAGUGCAAUUGGAAAGAGGUAUAAAUGAGUAAGAUCUUUAGUUUACAUGGCAGGCUGUUUGUUACAACUGCAUGUAUCCAAAUUGCUCGUGAAAUGCACAGACACUUGCAAGGUAGACCCUAUUUUAUUCCGACUAUAUGCGAAUUUUUCCCUCCUUGGAGAGACUUGUUAACCAAGCUCUGUCAGCAAGUGUCUUCUCUGGGCACAACCAGGUUGCUCUGGCACGUGCCUGUCCAUCCCAGAGUGGUGUGGUGUGGUGUGCCAGCCCAGCCAGGGCCGUGCCAGCCGCCCUUCCUGCCCACAGCCAACCCGCCUGCCCAUGCAGCAGCAAAAUGGUUGCAGCUCUAUUUAUUCUGAUUACAGAAUCCUGUUCUUAGAAAUGCAAGCUUCUCCCCCAUCUGACAUGUAUUGAAGGAAGGUAAACCCUGGCCAGUGAUUUUUGGUUUACAAUGUCUGUUUUUAUUCAAUAACUCAGUCUCCCAGAGGUGCUAGUUUAGCUCAGGACUCUGCUGCUUGACGUCUAAGUAACUGACCAUCUUCCUAGGGUGUUGGGUUUUUUUUAAUAUUGAAAAAAAAUGUAAAUAAAUUUAGCAGCAUCUCAACAAUUUUACCUACAUUCACCAGAAGCAAGUGUGCAGUGGUUUGGCUUUUUCUUGUUCUGGUUUUGUCACGGCCUUUUCUAAAACCCACUGUUUUACUCAGCCACUGCUUUCCCCGGCACAGCUUUCCCGCAGUGCCUUUGCCACCAGGGAUGCUCGGCCAUAGGCAGGUUUGCUCUGGGACACCAAAGGCCUGGGACAGUCAGUGGCCAAAAAUAUCUCAUCGCCUUGGAAUCAGCCAGGGCUUCACCCGCCACAGGGUGGAAGGCAGAGCAGUGACUGCUGUGCAGCCCCAGGCUGCGGGGAUGGGGGGACAGCACUGGUCCGUGAGCCGGACACCAAACACCACGAGUGCAGCUAUUCCUGCUAGGACUAAGUACAAAGUAACUUGUCUGUCUGCCCGUCUGCUUCUCACAGCCAAGCUAACAGCGUCGCUCGUUUCUCUUAGGACAAGACGAGCGCUCUGAGCCUGAGCAAUGUUGCUGGGGUGUUCUAUAUCCUUGUGGGAGGCCUGGGGCUGGCCAUGAUGGUGGCACUGAUCGAGUUCUGCUACAAGUCUCGGGCCGAGUCCAAGCGAAUGAAACUCACCAAGAACACGCAGAACUUCAAACCUGCUCCCGCCACCAACACCCAGAAUUACGCUACCUACAGAGAAGGCUACAACGUGUACGGCACAGAAAGUGUGAAAAUCUAGGGAUCCUCACCCUGACAGCAUGCAAGAGGAAAAGCAGUAGAGAAUGUGGCUACUUCAUGGAUUUGGACCACCUGAGCCAGUCGUACUCUCUCCGAGGUGUCAGGCAUGACACGCGUUGAUGAUGGUGCAAUGUACUUUUAAUAGGAAAAACUGAUUUUUUUUUUCCUUCAGUGCCUUAUGGAAGACUCUGAGACUCACAACAAUGCAAACCAUCACUGAAAUAUUCUUGCUUUGCUUGAAAGAAGUAAAAGAAAAUAAGAGAGGAAAAUGAAAGAAAAAGAAAA